AAACUGGAAUUCAAAUUCGUAUCUAAAUUAGAUAGUAAAAUUUUAACUCAUAUAUAAUUUUUUUUUUUAUAGAGAUAAAUAGUAUGUUACUCGCUUCGCUUAUUUCAUUUAGAAAUAAACUUAAUUAGAAAUGUAAAUUAAUUAGGAUUCAAACUUGGAACCCGAAAUACCAACCACCAAAUUCUCUACCACUUGCGGUAUGGACAGUCGGUUAACUCAUAUAUGAUAGUUUCUAAUUGGAGUUGGAUUGGGUCACACAAUCCAAUCCAUUUUUACUCUUACUUUUAGGGUGCGUUUGGAUUAAUGAAUUUGUAGAUCCAACGUAACUUAAGUACGGUUGUGUUUAAGUUUUUCUAAACUGUGAUUUUUUUUGUUAUUAUUUGUUUUGACAUAACUUAUACAGUCUGAAAGUUAAAUUCAAUUACUUAUUCUAUUUUUUUUAUAUAACUUGGUAUUGGUGAAAUUAAAUUUUUUAGUUAUAUUGUUUAUUUUGAUGAAAAUAAGUGGAUCUCGUUAUCUUCUGAAUAUAUUGAUAAAUUUACCGCUAAAAAAUUUAACCUAUUAAGUAAUUAUAUUUUUCAUUAUUAUUUAAAGAUAAUUCUAAUUUAUUAUAAAUAAGAUAAUUCUAAUCCAUUAUAAAGAAAGUAUAAUUUAGAUUGUACUAUUUAGUAAAUUGUUUAGAGAAGGUUGAGUGUGGCAAAAGUCAAGUUCGGCGCUUUAUAGAAAGAAUCGAAAAUAAGUGAAAUGGAGGUCUGACGUAACUUGAGUUACACUAUAUUUGUUACUUACACCAAAAUAAGUAUUAGAAGUAAUGAAACUUGGGUUCCAUCCCUCUACUUACAUCCAUAGUUAGUUGAUUCGGAUUCGGCAAAAAUUCAGUACGGGUAUAAUACGCAUAAAAUUUAUUUUCUAAUUUUUAAAUUCGUUAAAAAAUUUGGAUUAAAAAAGGAAUUUGGUAUGAAAUAUAAAAUAUAAGAUAUAAAAUAUUUAAACAUAAAAAUUAUAAGUUUUUUUAUUCAGAUUUUUAAUAAUUCGGAAAUAAUUCGUGAAUAAUUAGACUGACCAAAAAAUUUACAAAUAAUUUUCUUUCUUUAAACAAAAUUCAUAAACAAACUGUUUAAUUUGAAUUUUAAUAAUUCAUGAAUAAUUCGCAAAUAAUUUGCCAAUUACCUAACAAAGCUUACAUCAAAACAAAAAGCCCUCUAGCC
rnacentral:lncRNA from 1 species